GAUGCCGGACAGACCUGGCAGGGCCAAACCCAUUGUGAGGGUCUGGUGGGAACGUCUAGCAGAGUCUCCUGUCAGAGAGAGUUUCAAUUCCCACCUCCGGAAGAACUUUGAACACAAGGGAGAUGCUGGACAUUGAGUCCGAGUGGACCAUGUUGCGCACCACUAUUGUCAAGGCGGCUGAUUGGUUAGUUGGUGCCUGUCGUGGCGGUAAUCCUAGAACCGCCAGUGAGGGAUGCUGUCAAGCUGACGAAAGAAAGAGUCCUGUCGGGUUAUUUUGGCUCAUAGGCCAAGCGGUGUGCGGCUUCAGCGGUCGCGGAGGCAAAAACUCGAGGAGUUCGGGGAAGCCGUGGAAAACGACUUUAAUCUGGCCAGGAUCUUCAGCUUUCACUGGACCGUUUCGCAGCUGAGUGUGAAGCGAGUGGGAUGAGAAUCAGCACCUCAGAGUCUGAGUCCAUGGUUCUCGCCCGUAAAAGGGUGGAGUGCCUUCUCCGGGUUAAGGAGGAGAUCUUGCCCCAAGUGGAGGAAUUCAAAUACCUCGGAGUCUUGUUCACGAGUAAGGGAAGAGUGGAUCCUGAGAUCGACAAGCAAAUCGGUGUGGCGUCUUCAGUAAUGCGGACGCUGUAUCGAUCUGUUGUGGUGAAGAAGGAGCUGAGCCGGAAGGCAAAGCUCUCAAUUUACCGGUCGAUCUACGUUCCCAUCCUCACCAAUUGUCAUGAGCUUUGGGUUAUGACCGAAAGGACAAGGUCACGGGUACAAGUGGCAGAAAUUAUUUUACUACACCGAGUGGCGGGUCUCUCCCUUAGAUAUUGGGUGAGAAGCUCUGCCAUCCGGAAGGAGUUCAAAGUAAAGCCACUGCUUCUCCACAUCAAGAAGGGCGAGAUGAGGUGGUUCGGGCAUCUGGUCAGGAUUCCACCCACCUCCGACCGGUAGGAGGCCACGGGGAAGACAAGACUAUGUCUCCCGGCUGGCCUGGAAACGCCUCGGGAUCCCCCAGGAAGAGCUGGAUGGAGUGUCUGGGGAGAGGGAAGUCUGGGUUUAUUUGCUUAGGCUGCUGCCCCCGCGACCCAACCUCGGAUAGGCAGAAGAAAAUGGAUGGAUGGAUGAAUAGAUACUGUAAUAUGAUUGUUCAUGUUUUUUUCUCAGUAAAGAUUGUGUUGUAUAUUACUAACUCCAAAAGCAUUCAGCUGCUGACGUAGAAGCUAGUUUAUGACUAAUACCAUAGCAUGCCGUCUCAAGGUGAUUAAUUAGUAUGGUCUAAAAAGAGUUCCACAGUGUUAGCUCUUACAAAAAUAAUGUUGCUCAACUCUGGUUAUAAUGCAGGUUACAUAACAUAAAGGAAGUGUUGUAGAUGGUUUUUGAAUGCAUUUUAAAGUGAUUUAGAGGCAGAAUAGAUUAAUCCCAUUAGUUGCAUUGCUAGCCACCUAGAACAAACUGAUUAUUACAAAUUAGAAUGCAAAAAUUGUCACAGUCUGUCUGUCUGUCUGUGUCUGUUUGUCUUUGUGUGUCUUUGGGAGAGUGGGUGUGUUCUGCGCGUAAGCUUGGCUCAAGCUCUCAGCCUGGCACAGCUGAUCCCAGCAACUCACCUGCAGCCUACAAAUGUUUGGACUUCACUCGACGCGAUCGCCAGAUCGUUUCACCUUCUACAUGUGUUCCCUACCUACCGUGUGUGCCUGCCUCAGCCUGCUUGCCACGGCCUGCUAUCCACAGCCUGUUAGCCUCAGCCUGCCAGCUUUAGUGUGCUCUCCUGGACUGCAAAGCCAAGCACUACAAGCUCCCUCCUUUCCCUCAGGUUUUAUUAAUAAUAACCCUUGAACUCUAA